rnacentral:lncRNA from 1 species
AAAUGACUUACAUUUUUUUUCUACUGAUUAAGUUAUCAAAGAUAAUUCUCAAGACAGAGUCUUUAGGUUAAAGGUACAAACAUUUUCAUCUUUUGUACAUUGCCAUACUGCUUUUCAAAAAAAAAUCUCAAUUAAUAGAACAAACAGCUGUGCGUGAGUAUAUAAACCUCACCAUCUUGAUCAUAAUUUGGUUUUACCUUCUCAAAUACCUCUUCAAUAAUUGUAAAAUAGCAGCUCAAAAAGAAGCUGUAUAUGCUCUCAAGAGGAGAACUUUCUUGACAAUGAGACAAGAAUUAUUUCUGAUUACAUUUUUGUCUACAACAGGUAUUACCAUAGGGGUUCAUUAUUCAUAACCUUUGCACGUUAUUAGUUGUACUAUUCUUCUUAUAAGUGAUCAUUUUUUAUUAUACCAUAGAUACAAUAUAUGCCACAGAUAUGCCUUACCAUGCAUGUUUUUCAUUUGGUUGAAAUUUAGCAAAAUGAAAUAUUUAUUUUAUUCUCUCACCACCAAUAAAGCAUCAUCUUCUGCUGCCUACUUCUAGAAGACACUAAGACAUUAAAAUGAAGGUUCUCAUUUUGAUUGCUGUCAUCUUGACUUUCACUGCUUGUUUUUCGUCAGCUGAUGCACAUAAGCAAAAAAACUCCAGGUCUAGUGAAAGCUCCGAAGAAUAUUUUAAACUACCUAAACAAUUAAGGUCUAAGCUGUCAAGAAGAUAUUCUGCAAAAUUCCAACGAGCUCCUGGAAGUCCAUGUGGUCACUCUGUUCGUCAUGAACCCCCCAGAGGCCACCAUCCCCUCCACCUCCCUCACCAUCCUCACAUCCCACAUGAACCGUCACCCAGACCUACAUUGCCACCUGAGAACACUGUCUAUCCUAGUUCUCAAGCACCAUCAGCCCCUUUUAGGGCUCCUCCAACCAUAAUUUACACCACUGCCACUGUGCUGCCACCACCACUGCUUUCACUGUCUCUGCCCAAAACACUGAGAGUGUUGCAUCCAGCACUAACAGCUUCCAGUGCCCUCCAACCUGAGGACAUCACCAAUGCCCUUGAAGCUGACACUACUACCCCUGCCCCAGUAGCUGACACUACUACCCCUGCCCCAGUAGCUGACACUACUGCUGUCUAUCAGCAACAAGAGCCUCAGUGA